CUCCCCGGUGCCGUCGGGAGGACGCGGGUUUUUCUCUCGGUUCCCUCUUCGGAGCUCCAAGGAUCUCCGGCUUCUUGCGCUUCCAGAAAGCGGCCGAGAGCCGAGCGCCGCCGCUGGAAUGGGCGAGGGCGCGCCGGCUCUUAGACCUACCUCUGCAUUUCCUGGGCCUGGUUAGCGCGUCCCCGCGGGCAACAAACCCGCGCAAAGCGGAGCCAGGACCCCGCUCUUGGUUGCCAGCAGGAUCCAGGAUCGCGCCCCCACGAUUAAAGAAGUGCUAGGGAGAAGAGACCCCAAAUUUAGCCAACGACGAGGAGUCGAAGUCUCCUCUAAAGCACACACUUUAAAAGCGCGCAGGCGGAGCGGGCUCCACGCUGAAUCCGCGCGGCUUCCCCGUUACGUGUCGGUGCAUUUGCGCCGCGCAUUAUGCAGAGACCUUUCCCUACAGGCAGGGUGGGAUUCCCCCCCCCCCGGCGUUUCCAAGUCCCUUUAAUUUCAGUGGGAGAGUGAAGUUUGGGAGCAGGAGAGCGCUCUGCGCCGAAGCUGCGAUCCUGGCUGUUAGGGGAGUGAGAUCCCACAGUUUGCAAACUGCAGACCGAACCAACCAACUCCGCAUUGUAUUGCAUUGAGGGCUGGGGUCGCCACCGGGCGCUGCCUCGUGUGUUUAUCGGUUUGCCCCAAGCGGGCUGUGUGGACGCACCCCGUUCUUUCUUAGAUGCCCACGACGAGAGCGAAUUCAGCAUCUGGCAAAGAAUGACGCCGACGGAGAUCAGAGGCAACUUGAUGCAAUCUUACCUAAUCAGACCAACCUCAGCGCUGGGCAAUGGGCAGUUUUCAUCUGGAAUACAUUUUGAUGGCUUAACAUACUCACGCAUCUGUCUGACGCCAGGAGAGUUCCGCGUUCAACGAAAAGGAGAAAAAUGGCAGGAGACGUGCGCAGGAGCCCAAUUGCUCCGCUGAUGACUAUUCCUUAGCGUGUUUGCGGAGGACAAAGAGUUACUGAAUUCAAAAAGAGAAGCACACACAGAGUGCGUCCAUUCCACCUUUGCUAUAACUCAGAUGGCAGAACAAGCAACACUUGAGAAACAGCCGAGACCCACGUGCAUGGUGGAAGGAAGCCUUGAGACUGUGGGCCCCAACUCAAACAAUUGUGCUAUCAAGAAAUUUUGGCUAGGAUGGAGUGGUUAGAGAACGCAGUUAGACUGACUCAGGCUAGCCCAGAUAAAAUGCUGGUGUCUUUUCCCUUCACAUGCCCCGAUGCUACAAUUUUGUUUAGAUUUUCCACAGAAGCCACAAGAUUGUGUUAGGGCAUUGCAGGCUAGAGCAGCAAUCAGAAUAUGGGACAGUCUGGAGGUUCUGCAAGAGAAAUCCAUUCCGGAAGUCCGUUCAACUUCCAAAAAAUUCGAAAACCAAAGCAUGGCCUCUGAUUGGCUGCAGGAAGGUCCUGCAGCAAAUCAGAAGUCGCGGAAGCCGCAUUGGACGCUCAGCUUCCAAAAAUAGUUCACAAACUAGAACAGUCACUUCCGGGUUUGCAAUGUUCGGGAGCCAAAACGUUCGGGAACUAAGCUGUUCAACUUCCAAGUAUUUUCUAUAAAGUAUUUUCGUGGAGUCCUGCAGUUCUACGCUCAGAGCUGGAGGGAAAAUUUCCUCCGGCAAACCUGAAAUUCUGCUCCAAGGAAAGAACAGUCAUAAAAAAAUAGCACAAUUCUGCAUUGAUUUCAGAAUGAAAGAACUGCCGUGCCAAAUCAGAGCAGCUGUGUCAGAAAAAGUGUUAGAAGCAGAGCAUGAGGAAUACAGGCACCCCUCGCUGUUUGCUCCCAGUUUUUGGCAAUAAGUUAUGCUGAGUCUGAAUGUGAACAUUCCUGCUUCUAGCUAUUGUAGUUGAUGGAGUAUCUACCAACUCUGUUAAUGCAGGGGUUGCCAACCUGGUGCCCUCAGGUGCCAUAAAGGCUGCCUUUGGUGACCCCAGGAUGAACGAUAAUUCCCAGUUUCCCAGGUUUCAUUUCUAACAAAACAAAAUGCUGUUUCUAGCAUUCUUAGAACCUGAAAUGCGAAGCAAAAAUGUACAGAUACAAUUCUUCUCAUUUUGUUGUGAGAAAUUAGCCUACCCAGUGUUUUCAGUGUUUUACUUUCUCCCCCACUACCAAGGAAAAAAAUGCCCUCCUGGAAAAACCCUUCCCCCUUGCAAAAAAUCCUGUGGAUAUUGUUGUUUGUGAUAGAGGAAGGGAUGCACAUGUAGUCAGAG